UUGUUAAAAAAAUGUGCAAAAUAAUAGCCGCAAAAACAAUUAUAAAAUGGUUUUAAUUAGUUAUAAAAAAAUGGGUAGAGGAAAAAACAUAUUAAACUCGGCUAUCCAAGAUCACUAAAA
rnacentral:sRNA from 12 species